rnacentral:rRNA from 1 species
GAUGAACGCUAGCUACAGUCUUAACACAUGCAAGUCGAGGUGCAGCAUGGUCUUAGCUUGCUAAGGCCGAUGGCGACCGGCGCACGGGUGAGUAACACGUAUCCAACCUGCCGUCUACUCUUGGACAGCCUUCUGAAAGGAAGAUUAAUACAAGAUGGCAUCAUGAGUCCGCAUGUUCACAUGAUUAAAGGUAUUCCGGUAGACGAUGGGGAUGCGUUCCAUUAGAUAGUAGGCGGGGUAACGGCCCACCUAGUCUUCGAUGGAUAGGGGUUCUGAGAGGAAGGACCCCCACAUUGGAACUGAGACACGGUCCAAACUCCUACGGGAGGCAGCAGUGAGGAAUAUUGGUCAAUGGGCGCAGGCCUGAACCAGCCAAGUAGCGUGAAGGAUGACUGCCCUAUGGGUUGUAAACUUCUUUUAUAAAGGAAUAAAGUCGGGUAUGUAUACCCGUUUGCAUGUACUUUAUGAAUAAGGAUCGGCUAACUCCGUG